AACGAACGCUGGCGGCGCGCCUAAUACAUGCAAGUCGAACGAGAAUGUGUAGCAAUACACAUGUACAGUGGCGAACGGGUGAGGAAUACAUAGGUAACCUACCCUCGAGUGGGGAAUAACUAGCCGAAAGGAUAGCUAAUACCACGUGCGCUUCCGGGACUGCGGUUCCGGAAGGAAAGCGAUACCGUGGGUAUCGCGCUCUUGGAUGGGCUUAUGUCCUAUCAGCUUGUUGGUGAGGUAACGGCUCACCAAGGCUGCGACGGGUAGCUGGUCUGAGAGGACGAUCAGCCACACUGGCACUGCGACACGGGCCAGACUCCUACGGGAGGCAGCAGUAAGGAAUAUUGCGCAAUGGGCGACAGCCUGACGCAGCGACGCCGCGUGGGGGACGAAGGUCUUCGGAUUGUAAACCCCUUUCGGGAGGAAAGAUGGAACGGGUAACCGUUCGGACGGUACCUCCAGAAGCAGCCACGGCUAACUUCGUGCCAGCAGCCGCCGUAACAC
rnacentral:rRNA from 1 species